rnacentral:lncRNA from 1 species
CCUCUUAGGCAUCAAACUUGACUUAUGGAGCCAAUAAAAGUCCCUUGGAAAAACUGGCCUCAUACCUUUGUCUACACAGUCCCUGUACUGAGUUCCUGUCCUGUGGACAUGUGACUUCACAACCUUUUAAAAAUGAGCUUUCCUAAUAACUCAGGAUCUACAUGUCUAGGAAUAAACCAUCCUAGCCAUGAGAGAUCAGACAAAACCUGAAACCAGAGACUCAUUAUCUUCUAAAAAACUUUCUCCAAAAGAUUUUACAAAAGGUGGUGGAGGUUAGGGGAGCAUUGUGAAAGGAAUAUAUCUUGGGCCCCCAACAUCACUAAGCUAAAGGGAAAAGUCAAGCUGGGAGCUGCUUGGGAUAAACCUGCCUCCCAUUCUAUUCAAAGUCACCACUCUGUUCAUUGAGAUAAAUGCAUAUCUGAUUGCCUCCUUUGGAGAGGCUAAUCAGAAACUCAAAAGAAUUCAACCAUUUGUCUCUUACAGACCUAUGACCUGGAAGCCCCCUCCUGCUUUGAGUUGUCCCGCCUUUCCACACCAAGCCAAUGUUCAUCUGCAUAUGUUAACUGAUAUCUCAUGUCUCCCUAAAAUGUAUGAAACCAAAAUGUGCUCUGACCACCUUGGGUACAUGUUAUCAGGACUUCCUGAGGCUGUGUCUUGGGCGCAUGUCCUCAACUUUGGCAAAAUAAACUUUGAAAAUUAACU